GGUACUUCUCCGGCCCCUGAGUGGCAGGCUCCAGGAGUCCGGUGGCAUCUCGGGCCACGUCCGCCUCUUUGAUCCCCGCCUUUCGGUGGCACGUGAUUCGACGCCUGGCGCAAAGUGCCCCGGCUUGGCUGGCCCUGGCCUCUUCCCCAAGCCGGCCACUGGUGCGGGAAUGGGUGAAUCCAGGCAGUGAGGCGACCGUCCCAGAAACGGUGAACAGUUCGGCCAAACUCCGCCCUCCUUUCUUGGUCUCACGGCACACACAUCAGCAAGGCAGAAGUUGGGGAUUCUUGGAAGAAGUAACAGCAGACUCAGACUGUCAGAAUCCCAGCGUGUAGGAAGGGAAGAAACGUCAGAGGGGCGCAUAAGCCGAGGAGUAGCUGCUCUGGCGCGCGCGGGAGCCUGCCUCGGACUGGGGUGCGUGUAUCAGGAGCCAGGGCCUCUUUCAAGGGCAUCACUCACUCCAGCCCCUCACUCUGGGAGCCAGCUCAAGAGAAACUUGCCUAUGAAAUGCAACUGGAGCAGUGGGAGAUCACUUUGGCAUUCAUCUGUAAUGGACUGUGGAUUCCCUCCAGCUCUACCCAAGAACAUAUACUUUUGACUGCUUAUCUGGACUAUUUUCUUCGAGUGAGCACAUAACCACUGAAUGCUUCUUUAAAAUUAAUUAAUCUUUAAAGUCUCCCAAGAGAAGGAAAAGAGAAGAAAAGAAACAGAAAAACCGUGAGGGAACCAGCUUCAGACAAGUAUGAAAUCGUUCUCGUAAAAAGCUAAUUAUGUUCCCCUGCAAGGAGGGGAAAGAAAGUUUAGAUAGAGAAAAAAUAAAUUUUAGAUAUAUACACACACAAAAGAGAGUGAUGUGUAGUUGGUUUGGACGAAAUUUGACUCCUUGACAACUUUAUCAAGCCAUAAAUUAAAACGUGAGGUCUCAUUAAUGCCUGAAGUACAAAAACAAAGAAGGGGAUGUUUCUAUGGUUAAACAGAAUUUUAGACAAUCGAGUCAAUCUCCUCAAGAAGGUUCUUUCUUUUUUUGUUCUAAACAAAAUGAACAACCUCGCUCAUGUCAAAAUUUCCCCAAAUUGGCCACUGCAUUCCAAACUGUCCCUGGUGAAAUUGUGCCAGUUAGAAAGUUAAGUGUACAAGUUAGUGUGUAAAGAGAAAACACGAAGGCAACGGGUGUGUCGCUUGGAAGAGGCGCAGUUUUAUAUUGAGAAAAACCCCUGGGGAUGGAACGGUCCAUAAGAAUAAGGCUUGGCUAGUUUUGUGAAUCUGGAGCUGGGCCAAAGGCCAAUUGUUGCUAAUCCAGAGCUGAACAGAAUCUCCCGAUUUAGUGCAGAGGAAAUUAAACAGUGCAAAUCUGUGACUAUACUAAAAACCAUAGAAUUGUACACUUUAAAUAGCUGAGUUGUAUAGUGUGUGAAUUAUAUCUCAGUAAAGCUGUCAUGAAAAAAGUCUCCCAAAAGACUAUUAUAUUUGGAAAAUACAAAAGCAUUGAAAUAGUUUUGUUGUUUUUAUACUCGUGAAAAACUGGAAACAACCUAAUUGUACAUUAACAAGAGAAUGGUUAAAUACAUUAGGGUACAAUCCUAUGGUGGAAUAUUAGCUAGUCAUUAAAAAUGGUUUCAAAUAAUACUUAACGACAAAGAAAAUGUUCACAGUAGAAUCUUAAGUGUAAAAGCAAGACAAAAUGUGUGA